rnacentral:snRNA from 1 species
AUGCUCACUUCAGCAACACAUACUAAAAUUGGAACCAUACAGAGAAGAAUAGCAUGACCCCCGUGCAAACAGGACAUGCAAAUUUUGUGAUGUGUUGAUUAAAAAG